rnacentral:lncRNA from 10 species
GGGAGCCGCUGCCGUCUUUGAAUACCCUGGGAACUGAGUGAGGUCCCAGGCUGGAGGCGCUACGCAGACAGUCCUGCUGCUCUAGCAGCAAGGCAGUAACACCACAAAAGCAAAACCACAUGGGAAAACUCAGCACUGGUGGUGGUGGCAGUGGACAGAUCAAGGCACUUCAACUCAUUUGGAAAAUGAGCCUUGGCCCCGGAGCCGCAGGGUGCAGGACUUCUCACCGAGCACACCUUCCACCACCAUCGUGGACUCGUACAGCUCACUACUCCUGUGGGGAGCAUGUGGGGGCUGAGGCCUCCCUAUUCCUUGAGACACAACAAUAUUGAAAUUAGACCAACUGAUAACCCUACAAUAGCCUCUAAGUCUUCAAGUGAAAAGAAGAGUCGUACGUAUCUCACUUUAAAUCAAAAUGAUUAAGCUAAAAAAUGAUUAAGCUUAGUGAGGAAGGCACAUUCAAAGCUGACACAGGCAGAAAGCUAGCUUUGUGCCAAACAGACAAAUUGUGAAUGCAAAGAAAUGUAAUAUCUAGCAAAUGCCCUAUUUGUGAAAAUUUUGAAGUAAAAGAUAAUAAAGCAAAUAAAAUGUUAUGCAAACAAGGAAAAGAAAAUAGGAGAAAGAAAUAAUGUGAUCAGGUUAACUGAUAAAACAGAGGAGAACAAAACUGCUGCUUGAAAUCCCUGCACAGGUUACGUGCAAUGCAAUCCUUAAUGAUGGAAUGAGGGCAUCAAAGGGCGGGGGAGCUGAGCAAAGCACUGCUGAAGAUCCAUUGGCUUAGCCAGGUCAGGGCUCCAGCCCCAGAGCUCAGAGCAACACAUGGAAGAGUGGGCUGCCCCAGGCACAGAAGUCAAAUAUCACAUGAUCUCACUCAAGUGGGUGCUAAAAACGUGUACAUAUGGACAUAGAGAUUGGAAUGAUAGACAACGGAGACUCGGAAGGGUGAGGGCAUAGGAGGGAAAUG